rnacentral:rRNA from 1 species
AUUGCCCCAGUAACGGCGAGUGAAGCGGCAACAGCUCAAAUUUGAAAUCUGGUCCCCAGGGCCCGAGUUGUAAUUUGCAGAGGAUGCUUUUGGCGAGGUGCCUUCCGAGUUCCCUGGAACGGGACGCCAUAGAGGGUGAGAGCCCCGUCUGGUCGGACACCGAGCCUCUGUAAAGCUCCUUCGACGAGUCGAGUAGUUUGGGAAUGCUGCUCUAAAUGGGAGGUAUAUGUCUUCUAAAGCUAAAUAUUGGCCAGAGACCGAUAGCGCACAAGUAGAGUGAUCGAAAGAUGAAAAGCACUUUGAAAAGAGGGUUAAAUAGUACGUGAAAUUGUUGAAAGGGAAGCACUUGUGACCAGACUUGGCCCCGGUGAAUCAUCCAGCGGUUCUCGUUGGUGCACUUUGCCGGGAUCCAGGCCAGCAUCAGUUCGCUCUGGGGGAUAAAGGCUUUGGGAAUGUGGCUCCCUCGGGAGUGUUAUAGCCCAUUGCGUAAUACCUUGUGGCGGGCUGAGGUUCGCGCUAUAUGCAAGGAUGCUGGCAUAAUGGUCAUCAGUGACCCGUCUUGAAACACGGACCAAGGAGUCGUCUUCGUAUGCGAGUGUUCGGGUGUCAAACCCCUACGCGUAAUGAAAGUGAACGCAGGUGAGAGCCCCUCCAGGGCGCAUCAUCGACCGAUCCUGAUGUUCUCGGAUGGAUUUGAGUAAGAGCAUACGGGGCCGGACCCGAAAGAAGGUGAACUAUGCCUGUAUAGGGUGAAGCCAGAGGAAACUCUGGUGGAGGCUCGCAGCGGUUCUGACGUGCAAAUCGAUCGUCAAAUAUGGGCAUGGGGCGAAAGACUAAU